rnacentral:rRNA from 1 species
UCAAACGAGAGUUUGAUCCUGGCUCAGAAUCAACGCUGGCGGCGUGCCUAACACAUGCAAGUCGAACGAGAAAGUGGAGCAAUCCAUGAGUAAAGUGGCGACCGGGUGAGUAACACGUGACUAACCUACCCU